rnacentral:rRNA from 1 species
UACGAAGGGGGCGAGCGUUGUUCGGAAUUACUGGGCGUAAAGGGCGCGUAGGCGGCCGAUCAAGUCAGAUGUGAAAGUCCUGGGCUUAACCUGGGGACUGCAUUUGAUACUGAUUGGCUUGAAUUCGGGAGAGGAUAGCGGAAUUCCCAGUGUAGAGGUGAAAUUCGUAGAUAUCGGGAGGAACACCAGAGGCGAAGGCGGCCACCUGGACAGACACUGACACUGAGACGCGAAAGCGUGGGGAGCAAACAGG